CCCUUAGACGUUCUGGGCCGCACGCGCGCUACACUGACCAGUGCAACAAGCAUCCGUCCUUGGCCGACAGGCCCGGGCAAUCUUUGAACGCUGGUCGUGAUAGGGAUAGACUUUUGCAAUUUUUGGUCUUCAACGAGGAAUUCCUAGUAAACGCAAGUCAUCAACUUGCAUUGAUUACGUCCCUGCCCUUUGUACACACCGCCCGUCGCACCUACCGAUUGAAUGGUCCGGUGAAGCCUCCGGAUUGGCGCGCACCUCGGUGCCGCCGAGAAGUUGGCUAAACCUUACCAUUUAGAGGAAGGUGAAGUCGUAACA
rnacentral:rRNA from 1 species